rnacentral:rRNA from 1 species
CUCUGACACAGGUGCUGCAUGGCUGUCGUCAGCUCGUGUCGUGAGAUGGUUGGGUUAACGUCCCGUAACGAGCGCAACCCUUGUCCUUAGUUACCAGCACGUUAUGGUGGGCACUCUAAGGAGACUGCCGGUGACAAACCGGAGGAAGGUGGGGAUGACGUCAAGUCAUCAUGGCCCUUACGGCCUGGGCUACACACGUGCUACAAUGGUCGGUACAAAGGGUUGCCAAGCCGCGAGGUGGAGCUAAUCCCAUAAAACCGAUCGUAGUCCGGAUCGCAGUCUGCAACUCGACUGCGUGAAGUCGGAAUCGCUAGUAAUCGUGAAUCAGAAUGUCACGGUGAAUACGUUCCCGGGCCUU